rnacentral:rRNA from 1 species
UACGUAGGGUGCAAGCGUUAAUCGGAAUUACUGGGCGUAAAGCGUGCGCAGGCGGUUGUGCAAGACCGAUGUGAAAUCCCCGGGCUUAACCUGGGAACUGCAUUGGUGACUGCACGGCUAGAGUGUGUCGGAGGGGGGUAGAAUUCCACGUGUAGCAGUGAAAUGCGUAGAUAUGUGGAGGAAUACCGAUGGCGAAGGCAGCCCCCUGGGAUAACACUGACGCUCAUGCACGAAAGCGUGGGGAG